rnacentral:rRNA from 1 species
CCCUUAGAUGUUCUGGGCCGCACGCGCGCUACACUGAUGAAUUCAACGAGCUCCUAACCUAGGCCGAAGGGUCCGGGUAAUCUUUGAAAUUUCAUCGUGAUGGGGAUAGAUUAUUGCAAUUAUUAAUCUUCAACGAGGGAUUCCUAGUAAGCGCGAGUCAUCAGCUCGCGUUGAUUACGUCCCUGCCCUUUGUACACACCGCCCGUCGCUCCUACCGAUUGAAUGGUCCGGUGAAAUGUUCGGACCGCGACAAGGCGGACGGUUCGCUGUCAGCUUUGCUGCGGGAAGUUCAUUAAACCUUAUCAUUUAGAGGAAGGAGAAGUCGUAACA